rnacentral:rRNA from 1 species
CANCNNNAAAAUUGCAGUUGAUACUGUCAGUCUUGAGUACAGUAGAGGUGGGCGGAAUUCGUGGUGUAGCGGUGAAAUGCUUAGAUAUCACGAAGAACUCCGAUUGCGAAGGCAGCUCACUGGACUGCAACUGACACUGAUGCUCGAAAGUGUGGGUAUCAAACAGGAUUAGAUACCCUGGUAGUCCACACAGUAAACGAUGAAUACUCGCUGUUUGCGAUAUACAGUAAGCGGCCAAGCGAAAGCAUUAAGUAUUCCACCUGGGGAGUACGCCGGCAACGGUGAAACUCAAAGGAAUUGACGGGGGCCCGCACAAGCGGAGGAACAUGUGGUUUAAUUCGAUGAUACGCGAGGAACCUUACCCGGGCUUAAAUUGCAGUGGAAUGAUGUGGAAACAUGUCAGUGAGCAAUCACCGCUGUGAAGGUGCUGCAUGGUUGUCGUCAGCUCGUGCCGUGAGGUGUCGGCUUAAGUGCCAUAACGAGCGCAACCCUUAUCUUCAGUUACUAACAGGUCAUGCUGAGGACUCUGGAGAGACUGCCGUCGUAAGAUGUGAGGAAGGUGGGGAUGACGUCAAAUCAGCACGGCCCUUACGUCCGGGGCUACACACGUGUUACAAUGGGGGGUACAGAAGGCAGCUAGCGGGUGACCGUAUGCUAAUCCCAAAAUCCUCUCUCAGUUCGGAUCGAAGUCUGCAACCCGACUUCGUGAAGCUGGAUUCGCUAGUAAUCGCGCAUCAGCCACGGCGCGGUGAAUACGUUCCCGGGCCUUGUACACACCGCCCGUCAAGCCAUGGGAGCCGGGGGUACCUGAAGUACGUAACCGCAAGGAUCGUCCUAGGGUAAAACUGGUGACUGGGGCUAAGUCGUAACAAGGUAACCA